rnacentral:rRNA from 1 species
AACGAACGCUGGCGGCAUGCCUAACACAUGCCAGUCGAACGAGACGUCCGGGCCUUGUGGCGCACCGGUGCUUACCGCGUGGGAAGUUACCCUUAGGUACGGUAUCCCUCCCCGAAAGGGGUCUUCAUGCCGCAGAAUCUCUUCCGACCUAAGAUCUGGCGCUUCUUGAUGGGAGUGCGGUUGAUUAGCUUGUUGGUGGGGUAGUGGCUUACCAAGGCCUCGAUCGGUAGCUGGUCUGAGAGGAUGACAGGCCACACUGGGACUGAGAUAAGGCCCAGACUAGUACGCGAGGCAGCAGUGGGGAAUAUUGCAUAAUGGGCGGAAGCAUGACGCAGCAAAGCCGCGUGCGGGAUGACGGACUUCGGGUUGUAAACCGAUUUCGCCUGUCACGAAGCGUGAGUGACGGUAAUGGGUAAAGAAGCACCGGCUAACUACGUG